GGGCCCGUGGCUCAACCAGGAUAGAGCGACUGGUUCCGAACCAGUAGGUUGCGGGUUCAAAUCCCGUCGGGCCCG
rnacentral:tRNA from 1 species